GGCAGACGGCUCAGUAACACGUAGUCAAUCUACCCUAUGGACGGGAAUAACCUCGGGAAACUGAGGAUAAAACCCGAUAGAUCAUAAUACCUGGAAUGGUUUAUGGUCCAAAUGAUUCGUCGCCGUAGGAUGGGACUGCGGCCUAUCAGCUUGUUGGUGAGGUAAUGGCCCACCAAGGCUAUUACAGGUACGGGCUCUGAGAGGAGAAGCCCGGAGAUGGGUACUGAGACACGGACCCAGGCCCUAUGGGGCGCAGCAGGCGAGAAACCUUUGCAAUGUGCGCAAGCACGACAAGGUUAAUCCGAGUGUUUCCUGCUAAAGGAAUCUUUUGUUAGUUGUAAAAUCACUGAUGAAUAAGGGGUGGGCAAGUUCUGGUGUCAGCCGCCGCGGUAAAACCAGCACCUCAAGUGGUCAGGAGGAUUAUUGGGCCUAAAGCAUCCGUAGCCUGUUCUAUAAGUUUCCGGUUAAAUCCAUUAGCUCAACUAAUGGGCUGCCGAAAAUACUGUGGAACUAGGGAGUGGGAGAGGUAGACGGUACUCGGUAGGAAGGGGUAAAAUCCUUUGAUCUAUUGAUGACCACCUGUGGCGAAGGCGGUCUACCAGAACACGUUCGACGGUGAGGGAUGAAAGCUGGGGGAGCAAACCGGAUUAGAUACCCGGGUAGUCCCAGCUGUAAACGAUGCAGACUCGGUGAUGCCCUGGCUUGUGGCCAGUGCAGUGCCGCAGGAAGCCGUUAAGUUUGCCGCUGGGAAGUACGUACGCAAGUAUGAAACUUAAAGGAAUUGCGGGGGAGCACCACAAGGGGUGAAGCCUGCGGUCAUU
rnacentral:rRNA from 1 species